UCCGAAUGAAUUUAGAGAAUUUAUUUUAGAGGCCUAUCCCAAACUCAGACAAGGGGGUGGAUUUGAGUUGCUCCGAAUUGCUGGAACUACAAGAAGUCGCCAACUGAUCCUCAUCCCGUGUCCCAAUGAGGGCUACCAUGUGAGACAUUUGAAAGAUCCACAAAACCAGAUUGGUCAUGCUAUUAUUUUCAUUCGACCACUCCAAAGGAACCUGGAUCUCGAGCAUGUAUGUCAACCAGAAUGCAACAAUGGGCUGGUUGGACCACCUGAGAAAUGUAUCACUUGUGGAGAGGAGUUUCCUUUUUCACAAAUCAAAGCUCAUAGUGAUGAAUGCAUGAGUGCCAGGAGGAACCCUUCUUUUUGAGGGUGAAAAUGAUCAUCUGAUACCCUCCACUUCCCAUAUCCUUUUGGAGAGUGACUUAUUUGUUGUUGCUGGACGAUUCAUUUCUGCAUGAUGGGCCAUGCCUGGGUGGACUGAGCCCAGCAAUCCUGCAUGUGCUCUUUGGUGGAUCCCCAGAAGAAGCCACUAUAG